AUACGGAGGGUCCAAGCGUUAUCCGGAAUCAUUGGGUUUAAAGGGUUCGUAGGCGGGUCAAUAAGUCAGAGUUGAAAUCUUGCAGCUUAACUGUAAAAUUGCCUUUGAAACUGUUGACCUUGAAUUACUGUGAAGUGGUUAGAAUAUGUAGUGUAGCGGUGAAAUGCUUAGAGAUUACAUAGAAUACCGAUUGCGAAGGCAGAUCACUAACAGUAUAUUGACGCUGAUGAACGAAAGCGUGGGUAGCGAACGGGAUUAGAAACCCUAGUAGUCC
rnacentral:rRNA from 1 species